GGAACCAUGCGUGCGUGCGUAACAUGAACUUUCAGAAAUUUGCCGUUUUCACGAAUUUUGGAUUUAUUUAUCUUGUUUUGUAUAUUAAAAUGAAUAAAUGGGCCUUAUAACAACAUGGGCUAACUAUAAUAAUCUUGAUUUUUCAUGGGUUCCUUAAUGGGCUGACGAUUGACCAAUUGGCCCAGCUCAGGACAAUUUUUAGCCCCUUUUUCAAUAUCUGGCACAAUAAUAUUAACCUCCCUUUUCUUUUUAAAAUGUGAAACUGGUAGUGCGUAUAUAUCAAUUCUUCAAUAACCUCCCUGUAGAACCAAA